rnacentral:lncRNA from 1 species
AUGAAAACCAAAGGGCCAAUGUUCUUUUCCCUUCGCUUAUGUUACAACCAGAGUCUGGGAUUCUCACUGCUGACAAUAGAGAUACAGUUAUCCAGAGUACAUGAAGAUGUGAGGCACACUGAACUCCCUAUGCAAAUCUUCGCAGUGCCCGGGGGACUUCAUCUCAACUUCAAGAUGCAAACCUUUACAAGCAUGCAGCUGUUCCGGACAUCGAGAAGGCAUGCACAGCCUAUCACCAUGCCAGUUACGUAACCUGCUAUGCAAGCCGCAUCCUUCCAAGUCAUGUAUUCCCAGAGGACAACACAGUUAUGCACAGAAAACCUGCUGUCUCUUAAGUAUAUCCACUUUCCAUAAAUUUACAAUUAAUAUUAAUCCUGAUCUUGAAAAUAAGCUGUGAACCAAAGCAAAUCGCCUUAAAAACAGAUUUUCAUUAAUGAGGAGAUUUACUCUAAGUUUCUCCCCGCCUACCUUCCUUACUUGGCUUUCAUGAAAAUUGCAAUGCAUCUUUCCCUGGUGAGAUCCAUUCCAUGACUGCUGUAACAUGGUUGAGAGCAUUUCGGUACUUAAUUAGUGCAGAAAUACAAGUAAAGGCAGAACCCCGUUCACCUCCCUCAUUCAUUUCCUUUCUGAUCAGUUACUGUGACAUUGCAUACCAACCAAGCUCCUAUACAUAGCCACAUGUCUUAACAAGCCUACCAGCUCAAGGCCUAAGCCAUCUUUAACCUCCCUUCUCCCCUCAUGCACACCUUAAACAUCAACAUACAUGUGUGCUCACUUCAAGCUUUCAUUUAAGAUCGAGCACAUUUAAAGAGUCUACGAAUUGUCCAUUUUUCCAUCUUCUGCUUCUUUUCCCUAUUCCUUCUCUUUGAUCACACUUGCCGGAGCUGUGUUUUUGCAGAGAGGUGGAUGCAUUUACCCAGGGCUCUAGCAAAAAUGUCUAUUUCCUUUUCUGUAGAUACUGUAGUUUCGACACUAAGCAAAAAUAAUGUAUCUAGCACCCUGUUUCCAAAUGCAUCUCAGGUGGGUCAAUACAGUUUUAUUACAGAGGAAAAACCAACGUCACUUAUAAGGGACACAAAAAAAUAAAGGCACCAUCUCAUCUGUUCCUCUUGUUUGUCUCUUCUCUAUUCACUUAUUCUUAAACAAAAAGAGAACAGGGAGAGACAGCAUGGCAAGUGUAAUAGACCUAACUUUCUAAACUUUCACCCCAUAUAUUUUCAUAUGGAAAUAGGUAACACAUGUUAAAUCAUGAGUCAUGCCUUGUCUAUGUGUCUAUGUCUUAACCCAACCAAUACUUCUUUAAUUUGGUCCUUCUGCAUAAGAGCCCUAGUAGUCCUAGAAAACAAGGAGAUAAUCUCAUUGCACUAGCCUUUGCCAUGCUAACCUAAAGAAAGGGUCAGUUAGUAAGGCAAGUAAGUAGCACUGGAGGUAGUAAUGAUGCACACAGUCACAGACUCAGAAUGGUAUGCAAGAUCUUCCCAGCCAAGGCAGCACAGCGGCUUACCAUCCAUAACAAAAUCGGGAAUUACAGUGUGGGUCAUUCACUGAUAACUGCCAAGGUAGACCAAGGCCCUUUUCCUUCGUUGGCAGUGUUUUCAGCUCCAGCCACGUCUAAUUUUACUUUUUAAAAAUUUAAUUCACUUUUCUUUUCUUUUCUUCACUUUCUAAUUCACUUUCUUUUCUUUAGGAUCUUUUGCCUUGAGUUUUCUCACCUAUCAAACCAGACGGCUUGCUACAUGUUCUGGACUCUACUAAAUCAUCUAUGGUCCCAGUUCUCCAAGACUUUAUGGCUUAAGCAAGCAACCACUAGACAAACACUGGGUAUAAGAUGAUUUGGAUCUCCUAUCAAUGCAAGAGAUGAUGAGCAUUCUCUAUUUGUCUCUGUAUUUCCCAUUUCUUUCUCCCUUUUCUGCCCUUGAAAUUUUUCUUGCUCAUGUCAUGUUGAAAAUAUCAGAGUCUAGCCAUUUAUUUAUUUUUUUUAAGAUUCUAUUUAUUUAUUUGACAGAGAGAAAGAGAUCACAAGUAGGCAGAGAGGCAGGAAGAGAGAGAGGGGGAAGCAGGUUCCCAGCUGAGCAGAGAGCCCGAUGCAGGGCUUGAUCCCAGGACCCUGAGAUCGUGACCUGAGCUGAAGGCAGAGGCUUAACCCACAGAGCCACCCAAGUGCCCCAAGUUCUAUCCAUUUAAGCAUGGCCUUAGGACUUCAGAUAAGAUGCUGAGGACGUUUCUGGUUUUGGUUUAUCACCCAUAAGAGUCAGGGCCAUUGGAUUUAAAGUACACCACUGAGGCAAAGAUCUCCUUUUCCUGAGUCCUUAGCAUCUUUCAUUGUCUUGACCGUGGCUCUAAUGGGCCAGCAUUACACUGGUGAAGCUCUGAAGCAUGGGACUCAAGAAGGUUUACCUAGCGGAUUGGAUGCAACACUGGAAACUGCUUACGACUUUUAUGAGACUGACAGAGAAAAACAUUACUUACUCAUUUGCAACAAUGGAACAAUAUUUUAACAAGUAGUUGCUAUAUGCCACUUAUGGACUGGAUCCUAGGGAUAUACACCUUCAUCAUCACUACUGUAUUUUCUGAGUAUUCACUACCAGAUGCUGUUCUAAGUUCU